AUCCAGAUGACGAGUCCCAAACAGGACGAAAACGCGCUUCCUGGAU
rfam:Schistosoma rodhaini strain Burundi genome assembly, scaffold: SROB_scaffold0008472